UACGGGGGGGGCAAGCGUUGUUCGGAAUUACUGGGCGUAAGGGGCUCGUAGGCGGCCAACUAAGUCAGACGUGAAAUCCCUCAGCUUAACUGGGGAACUGCGUCUGAUACUGGAUGGCUUGAGUUUGGGAGAGGGAUGCGGAAUUCCAGGUGUAGCGGUGAAAUGCGUAGAUAUCUGGAGGAACACCGGUGGCGAAGGCGGCAUCCUGGACCAACACUGACACUGAGGAGCGAAAGCCAGGGGAGCAAACGGG
rnacentral:rRNA from 1 species